GGCUGCGUCAGUGUAAAAGAGCAGAAAUCCCCGGAGGCGUGAAGGAAUCUCUGUGUGCUUUUUAAUGAAGAACAAACUCGUUCUUCAUCCUGUGAGCGAAUUCAUUCAGGCCUGUUAGUUGGUGUUGUUCUCUGGAUGGAACUGCAAUUGAAAGGGAUGCUUCUGGUGUGAUGUGCGGCCCCCUCCCGCGCUCUCAGAAGAACCAAGUUGGCAAGGCCUGGCUCCUGGUUGGUGAGCUGUGCCCAAGCCCCAAGUGAGGAUCCGAGCAAUAGUGCAGAAGGGACGGUUUAGACUGGAAGUGCAAUGCAAAGGGCUGGAGCUAGCAGGAGCAGGGAAGUGAUCAUCCCCCUGUACUCAGCACUGGUGAGUCCUCACCUUGAGUCCUUGCAGCACCUUAGAGGCAACCUUGAUUUCUCCAGCCUUCUCUGAGCUUUGUGUCACGAGAGCUCUGCAGCUUCUACCUGUGACGUGAGAGCAUAUGGAAGGCCCUGCAAGAAGUCUGGUGAUAACCAUGGAAGCAUAGAAGCGUUACCCAGACAAAAUGAGCAUUUGUCACCUGG